UACGGAGGAUGCGAGCGUUAUCCGGAUUUAUUGGGUUUAAAGGGUGCGUAGGCGGAUCGUUAAGUCAGUGGUCAAAUUGAGGGGCUCAACCCCUUCCCGCCAUUGAAACUGGCGAUCUUGAGUGGAAGAGAAGUAUGCGGAAUGCGUGGUGUAGCGGUGAAAUGCAUAGAUAUCACGCAGAACGCCGAUUGCGAAGGCAGCUUACCGGCGCUCAACUGACGCUGAGGCACGAAAGUGCGGGUAUCGAACAGG
rnacentral:rRNA from 1 species